rnacentral:rRNA from 1 species
GUGAACGCUGGCGGUAGGCCUAACACAUGCAAGUCGAACGGCAGCACAGGAGAGCUUGCUCUCCGGGUGGCGAGUGGCGGACGGGUGAGGAAUACAUCGGAAUCUACUUUUUCGUGGGGGAUAACGUAGGGAAACUUACGCUAAUACCGCAUACGACCUACGGGUGAAAGCAGGGGACCUUCGGGCCUUGCGCGGAUGAAUGAGCCGAUGUCGGAUUAGCUAGUUGGCGGGGUAAAGGCCCACCAAGGCGACGAUCCGUAGCUGGUCUGAGGGGAUGAUCAGCAACACUGGAACUGGGACACGGUCCAGACUCCUACGGGAGGCAGCAGUGGGGAAUAUUGGACAAUGGGCGCAAGCCUGAUCCAGCCAUACCGCGUGGGUGAAGAAGGCCUUCGGGUUGUAAAGCCCUUUUGUUGGGAAAGAAAAGCAGCAGGUUAAUACCCCGCUGUUCUGACGGUACCCAAAGAAUAAGCACCGGCUAACUUCGUGCCAGCCGCCGCCGUAAUAC